rnacentral:lncRNA from 1 species
GCUGUGCUAGCACGUUCAGGUGCUGACUGUGGGCAUGGUCCAACCAUCUUUGAAGUCAGUGGAAGACUUUCAACUUCAGUGAGCUGCGGAGGUGUUCUGAGGUGCUCUCUUGUGCUGGCCAACUUGGAAGCAUCAGUGAACAGAGGAGGGGAGAGACAUCCAGCACCCUUCAUCAAAGCACAGUGCUCUCAGAGGCCGUGGUGUAACCUACGUGGAGCGGGGUGUUCCCUCCCACCCACAGAUGUGCCCUCCUGCUGCCUCCCCUGCAUGGGUGCUGCAGCUCAUGUGGCUGCACAGCUGAGACAGACACAGCCACCAAUCCUUCUGGAAACCAACCCAGCCCAGCAAAGAUUUGUCUCCAGCCAGGUCAG